rnacentral:rRNA from 1 species
AUUGAACGCUGGCGGCAGGCCUAACACAUGCAAGUCGAGCGGAUGAAGGGAGCUUGCUCCUGGAUUCAGCGGCGGACGGGUGAGUAAUGCCUAGGAAUCUGCCUGGUAGUGGGGGAUAACGUCCGGAAACGGGCGCUAAUACCGCAUACGUCGUGAGGGAGAAGGAGGGGGAGCUUCGGACCGCACCGUAGCAGAGGGGCCUAGGUGGGAUUAGCUAGUUGGUGGGGUAAAGGCCUACAAAGGCGACGAUCCGUAACUGGCCUGAGAGGAUGAUCGGUCACACUGGAACGGGGCCACGGUCCAGGCUCCUACGGGAGGCAGCAGUGGGGAAUGUUGGACAAUGGGCGAAAGCCUGUUCCAGCCAUGCCGCGUGUGUGAAGAAGGUCUUCGGAUUGUAAUGCACUUUAAGUUGGGAGGAAGGGCAGUAAGUUAAUACCUUGCUGUUUUGACGUUACCAACAGAAUAAGCACCGGCUAACUUCGUG